rnacentral:lncRNA from 1 species
GUUACAUAAAAUCAGUAAUUAAACUGAGAGAUCCAUACAAAUGAAAAAAUAAAUCAAUGGACCAGAAUAUAGAAUCUAAACACCAACUUACAGAUCAGCUGAUUUAUGGCAAAAUGGGAACAGUGUGGUGAGAAGAGGUGAUACAAGAUCAAUGUGAUUCAUUCUGAGAAGUUUUAUGUGCUAAUGGAAGCCAUAGAACUUAGGCUUCAGGUUCCCUCACUUUCAGGUGUCACAGUCUGGCUGGGCACAAAUCACCAAGCCGCCACAAAGCACCUGUAUGUUCAAACAGGAAACUUCAUUGCCCGAACUCCACCAGCACUCCACGCACACUCCCCGGGAACUCUCCAGCUCCCCCCCCCCCCUGGGCUCUGCGCCUACCCUCUCAGACCCUGCGAGAACUCAACGGGAACUCCAAAGUAGUGGGCGCCUGAGGAAGCAAGAGCCGCCCUAUUGCCGGACAGUAAAGGUCUAUAUACAAUUGAAUACACAGCUUAACAUAACCAUCAUCAUCUCAAUGGCUCCCUGGCAUCACCUCUCAACCACUCCCUUCUGGCAAAAUGCCAUGUGUCAUCCCGACUUGGCUGUGGCCCUCAACAUUCAGGGACCCAGCAAGUGUGUGGAGUGCCUGAGAGGAGGAGUAGGCUCUAAGUGCAGAGGGGAAACCAGGUUUCAGUCAGAAGUGUUUCUGUUAAAAAAA